rnacentral:rRNA from 1 species
UCAAAAACAUCUCUUCUUGGUAUAAUAAGAAGUAGGCCCUGCCCGGUGUCUCAUUAUGAUAAACGGCGGUGUUAAACCUUAAAGUAGCGUAAUAAUUUGUCCUUUAAUUGGGGGCCAGUAUGAAGGGGUUGACGAUGGAGAGACUGUCUCCAAAAGAGUUGCUGAAAUUUUCUUUCUAGUGAAAAGACUAGAAUCAGGUUGAAAGACGAGAAGACCCCGUCGAGCUUAAAUCAACCUCUUUCUGUUUGUAGGUGUGUUUGUAAAUUUUUGUGGGGUAAUAAAGGAGAAGUAAAAACCUCUUUUUUUUGAUAUUUAGGAUCCAUAUAUUAUGAAAAAAAGAAAAAGCUACCGCGGGGAUAACAGCGUUAGACUGCCUGGGAGGCCUUAUUAAGGCAGUAGGUAAGACCUCGAUGUUGGCUUAGGGAAAACUUUUUGGUGCAGAAACUGGUAAAUUGACUAGCGUCUUGGAUGGCUUCAAAA